GCUGGGCGCAGUGGUGCAUGCCUGUAAUUCCAGCAGCUUGGGCAGCUGAGGCAGGAGGCUGAGGCACUGAGCCAGCCUUAGCAAUGGCUAGGUGCUCAGCAGCUCAGUGAGACCCUGUCUCUA
rnacentral:sRNA from 1 species